UACCAGCUCUCCGAGUGGUAGGGAUGAUUAUUGGGCUUAAAGCGUCCGUAGCCGGCUUAGCAAGUCUCCUGUUAAAUUCAGCGACCUAAUCGUUGAGCCGCGGGAGAUACUACUAGGCUAGGAGGCGGGAGAGGUCAACGGUACUUCCGGGGUAGGGGUGAAAUCCUAUAAUCCCGGGAGGACCACCAGUGGCGAAGGCUGUUGACUAGAACGCGCUCGGACGGUGAGGGACGAAAGCGUGGGGGGAGCGAACCGGAUUAGAGUACCCGGGUAGUCCCAGCUGUAAACGAUGCGAGCUAGGUGGUUGGGGUGGCUACGUGCCACUUCAGUGCCGCAGGGAAGCCAUUAAGCUCGCCGCCUGGGGAGUACGGCCGCAAGGCUAGAAACUUAAAGGAAUUGGGCGGGGGAGCACCACAAGGCGUAGAAGCUUGCGGUUC
rnacentral:rRNA from 1 species